GACAGAGGGUGCAAACGUUGCUCGGAAUCACUGGGCGUAAAGGGCGUGUAGGCGGGAAGGAAAGUCGGGCGUGAAAUCCCUGGGCUCAACCCAGGAACUGCACUCGAAACUUCUUUUCUUGAGUGCCGGAGAGGAAAGCGGAAUUCCUGGUGUAGAGGUGAAAUUCGUAGAUAUCAGGAGGAACACCAGUGGCGAAGGCGGCUCUCUGGAACGCAACUGGACGCUGAAGACGCGGAAAGCGUGGGGAGCAAACAGG
rnacentral:rRNA from 1 species